UACGUAGGGUGCAAGCGUUGUCCGGAAUUAUUGGGCGUAAAGAGCUCGUAGGCGGUUUGUUGCGUCGGCUGUGAAAUCCCGAGGCUCAACCUCGGGUCUGCAGUCGAUACGAGCAAACUAGAGUGCUGCAGGGGAGACUGGAAUUCCUGGUGUAGCGGUGAAAUGCGCAGAUAUCAGGAGGAACACCGGUGGCGAAGGCGGGUCUCUGGGCAACAACUGACGCUGGAGGAGCGAAAGCGUGGGGAGCGAACAGG
rnacentral:rRNA from 1 species